AUAUUUCUGUGGGUGAAUUUAUGGUUAUAUGCAUGCUAAUAGAUAUUAAAUUUUGUAUUGAGCGUUCAAAGUUAUUUCCAGCCAAGAGCCUGGGAGGUCUUUCCACCCUACUGAAGCCAAUUGGUUUGAAUUGCACAGAAGGUCCAGAUUUUAAUUUCCAGCGAGAGUGGGAAGAAGAGGAGAACAGAGUUCAUUCAUUUCAGAAGAGUCAGUAGUUAAGACAUCCAUCUGCUGUGAGAAGCCAGAUUCAUAUGCCUGUUCUGCCAUUUUCAUCUUCGUGUGAGUUGUUAGAAUGAAGAUUUUAGAGCAGCCUGACCUGUAGGAGAAAACAUGCUUUGGCUGCUUCUGUCACCUGGCUGAAGAAUAAAAUAAAUAAAUAAAUAAAUAAAAAGUUACUGUGUGCAGUUAAUAUCGAACAGCAGCCAUCUCCAGAUGAUCCCUGCUGCAUCCAAUUUCUGCCAAAAUGCUUUCUGUUAAACCUCCAUCAAACAGACACACGGCGCACAAAAGAAAACCUCAUCACCAAGGGAAACUAAUCCACCGGUGCGCAAUGUAAGCCUGUCAACUUUUUAUUAUAAGAAGUCAUCACUCAUUUCAGUGAAGAUUAAAAGUAUGACUAAAUUGAGAAAAUCCUCUUAGCCAUUCGGAAUUUUAAUAGAGGAGAAAAGGGGGAUGGAGUUAAAUAGGUAACUGGUCUCAAAGAGGGAAAAGG